rnacentral:lncRNA from 1 species
GUUUCCCCUUGUCCUUUGCUAUGCAAAUCUCCUUUCCCUUGAAAGGGAGUGUUUUGGACAUGUCAAUUUAGAAUAAUCUUUGUAAAUCAAUCUGUUGGGAAGUCACACUUUCAUUCCAUGUUUGGUUGUGAGAAAUCUGUCCAGAUCUUGCAUGGAAUAAUUAGUGGAAACAUAGAGAGCAUGCAGGCCAGUCUAUCACCUCAAGUGGAGACUUUGAGCCUAGAGAAAAUGGUAUAGUUUUUUUCAGAGGAUACAAUAUUCUGUGUCCUGUAGCCAUGGUAUCUCUCUCUGCUAGAGAAUGAGCAGGAGCUCACACACCCUGCACUCUCCUCUUAGGGGCUGUAAUGCACAUCUUUAGGAACUUUGUGCGACAAUAUGAUGAGAGUGGUGUCUUUGUUGUUACCACAAGCCUGACAAUGGUCCCAGGAGAGCAUGUCCUUCAUCAUUGUCUGUAAAAAGAUAUCUUAUCCAUGCUAGGAAGUUAAGAGAAUAGAGAGUACUCCCUGUGCAUGCAGCUAGGUUGGAAGUAUUACCUUAUUUGUCUCUUACCCUUAUUUGUUUCUUGACUCCUCCCCUUCUGCAGUAUUAUAGACAAACUAUCCAUGAAGACACAACCUGUAAGGGUGAUAUUUCUAAUAAAUUCUUACUGAGACUGCCUUUACACUCUCUUCAAAGAAAAAAAAAAUUACAAAUGUAGAAAUUCCUUGCACAUAUAGUUAGUUACCUGCUCUGUCUUUAUUUUUGUUCCUCUAAGCUUUAAACAGCCUCAGUUUGUGAUUCUGAGAUCUCUAAUUACAGAUACAUCUCAUUACUUCUUGACUGGCAACAUUUUCUUCAGCUAAAUCCAAAAAACAUUGACCAGAAAAGCCUCAUUCCUCUAGCAGACUGAAUACUGCUCAUUUAUUUGGAAGCUUUCACUUGGGGCUCCUGAGGGUGUGAGCAUUGUGCCCAGUUGAGCUAUUAAAUGACCAGCAUUUCCCAAAAGAACAUGAAAGGGUCAUGCUGUGACCUGCAAGCAGGAUUCUUCAUGGACAUCGAUAGAGGAUCCAUUCUGGCACUUGUGUUGCCUUCAGUGCUGAUGGCAGUGGUUGCUCCUCUUAUCUGUAUGAACCUAUGGUGGGCUAGUUGCACUGACU